CGGGGCGUAGCGCAGCUGGCUAGCGCGCAGCGUUUGGGACGCUGAGGUCGGAGGUUCGAAUCCUCUCGCCCCGACCU
rnacentral:tRNA from 1 species